CGCCAGAGAACUACGAGCGAAAAACUUAAAACUCUAAGGACUUGGCGGUGCCCCACACCAACCUAGAGGAGCCUGUCCUAUAAUCGAUACUCCACGCUAAACCUCACCGCCCCUUGUAAAAUCAGCCUAUAUACCGCCGUCGACAGCCCACCUUAUGAAAGCAAUUAAGUCGGCACAACAGUCAAUAACUAAUACGUCAGGUCAAGGUGUAGCACAUGGGGAGGCAGAGAUGGGCUACAUUUUUCAACAUGAAAAACACGCAUAGUGUGCUGAAACACACACUUUAAGGUGGAUUUAGCAGUAAGAUAAACAAGCACCACUACCUAAAACCUGCUCUGGGGCGCGCACACACCGCC
rnacentral:rRNA from 1 species